AACACGACUCUCGGCAAUGGAUAUCUCGGCUCUCGCAUCGAUGAAGAGCGCAGCGAAAUGCGAUACGUGGUGCGAAUUGCAGAAUCCCGUGAAC
rnacentral:rRNA from 2 species